UUUUUGUAUAAUGAAAGUUUUUAGCGGCGCAAUACUGCAUGCAAAAUUUGAACAUAGGUCACCAGACAAAAUAAAGAGAUAUAGCGCAUUGUUUUUCUAAAAUGGAAAAUUUUAAUGACGUCAGCAAUUGACAUAAAACGCUAUAGAACACGCGCAAUGUCAUGAUAGGGCGCGAGCAACUGCUCACGUCAGAUUAUUUUGGAAGUUCUUUCAUUUUGUUAAUCAGUUUCCGCGACCUGCACGUAAAAAUGGUCACCCGGUUCUGAGUUUGCGAUUCUCGAGCAGGGUUUUUGUGAUAACUAUAUCGAGCUACUUUAAUUGUCUUCCACAUUUCUUUUGGAUUUUUAGCAGUAUUAUUAAUAUUAUGCUCGUAAAAUAUCCGGUUUUAGUCUUUCCAAUCAAUCUAUUUAAAUAAUUUCGAGCUCUUUUGUGAGCAUCAUGUAAUUUGGAAGAUCCAGUUUUGACCGAAGAAAAUGCCUGUAUUAGAUACGUCUCUUAAUAUUUUCUGUAAUCCAGGGCGCAUACUCACUUCUUACUUUGUGAGUCAUUUGAAGCGCAUGCAUAUCAGAAAUUAGUAGGAAUUUUGUUUUCCAUUCCUGCCAUAGUAAAUUAGGAUCAGGGGAUUGGCUUGAUUGCGUUUGAAAUGUAGGUCAUAACAAAAUGCAUCUUUGUUAUAAUAUAUUUUUGAAUUGCUGUGUACUUAUGAGUUUGGGCUCCUUACGCGGUAUUGAAAUUUUCCGGCAUAUAUAAAUUGUUUCGUUUCGUUUCAUUUCAUUUCAUUUCAUUUCACUUCACUUCAUUUCAUAUCAUAUCAUUUCAUUUCAUUUCAUUUCAUUUCAUUUCAUUUUAUUUUAUUUUAUUUUACUUUAUUUUAUUUUAUUUUAUUUUAUUUAUUUUUUUUACAAGAUUCGGCAAACAUAACAGACAUAAAUAAGAUUAACACUUUACAAAAUUUGCAUACAAUUCGGGCAGGGACUAGCCACAGAAAUAAUCCCCAAUUAUGGGGUCCCUUACAAUAAGUUACAAUAUAUAACAUUGAAACAAAUUAUGCUAAAAUGUCGACAACAUGUCCUCACUAAUAAGCUAUCAAGAGACCGAGUUAAGUGGCAUUUGACGCACAUUGACUUAAAUGUUCUGGGAUUGUCCGGGUUGUAUAUUUGUUCUAAAAGGCUUAAGUAGUAAUUGAAUAAAGGAGUUUUAAAGGACAUUGGCAACCAAAAUUUUUAUUACUUAUAUCUAUUAGGUAUACUUACGGAAUAUUUAAUUUCAUAUUUUUGCCGGUUUGUCGCGUUUAGUUGUUGAGAAAAUGUAAUAAAAAGUUCAACAGUUGUCCGCCAUUUUGAAAAUAAACGUGUAUGCUAAUUUAAGGAUCGG